UUGAUACUCUCACCCUGUUGGACUCAGGAAAAGUAAUUUUCCAUGGUUCUGCACAAAGGGCUGUGAACUAUUUUGCAUCAGCAGGUUACCACUGCGAGCCUUACAACAACCCUGCAGACUUCUUUCUAGAUGUGAUGUGUGGAGACUCCUCUGUUGUAUUAAACAGUGAGAGAGAGGACUGUGGAGACCUGGCUGAUGUAGGACAGAGACAGGCAGAAGGCUCUAGAGACGCUCGGGCUUCACUAAACAGAGAAGAAGAAGGCUCUGAAGCUGAAGAGAGAGAAAGACUAGCUGAGCUUUAUGCCAACUCUUCCCUAUACAGAACAGUAGAAGGUGAAUUAGAU